AUGGUCUACACUCAGCAGGGACAGGGCAUCCUGUUCCUCAGACUCCACACUGAGGCACGACCCAGCCCAGGGUCCCUGCAACCGAGACUGGGAGACAGGGAAGGUGCAGUGCAUGCAAGCUCCUGGGCCUCAGAGCACACAGCACAGAGGGUGGAGGGAGGGGGCGCUGUGGCCCUCAACCCACACAACAUGAGGAGGGACUAUGAGCGCCAGGCCGCCCGUGACCCCACUGGGGCAGGUCCAGACCCACCAGGCCCUUGGCUUCCAGCCCGCACCCUGCAUCUUUUACCCCACACCUUGAGGUGGAGGCCAGUGAGGAAGAACGCACAUCCUCCAAGGAUCCUGCAAGAGUCUUGGUCCAAAGCCCAGGGCCACAGGAGCCCCCAGGAGCCUCAAGACCAACCUGGCACCAGCGCUGCUAUCACCAGGUCAGGGAAGGGACUACAGGCACAGAGGAAUCCCCAGCUGUGCAGGGUUGCAGGAAGGACAGGCGCACACAGAACCAGACUGAAGCACCGGAUGCCCUGUCCUUCAGUGCCAGAGGACAACACACCACAGCAGGAAGCAUUGAGAGCAUUCAGAGCCCUGACCUCACUGGCACUGGAAUAAGGAGCUGGAAACAGACCAGGCAGUGCUCAACAUGGGGAUGCUCCUGGGGCGUACAUAAAACACCUAAUUCAAGAAGUGGAGCUCUUAGCUUGAGCUCCAGUCAGUGAGCUGAAAUGGAAAACAAACAAAACAAAACAAAGAAGUAUGUCAAAGCAGAGAAACAUGAAAGAUAUGCAAGCAAUGUUUAAGACCAAACAAAUUCUUGAGAUGAAAACUCCUUUCAGCAAAAUUAGAAACAUGAAGUCAUCAACAGCAGGAAAGACAAACACACAAAGAAAUGGUGAUGUCAAGGACAGAUUAUUUGAAAAUACACAAUUGAAGGUGGAAAAAAAGGAGAGCAAUUUAUUUUUUUUUUGACGAACACAUUACUGUUUUUUAAUAUAAUGAUAAUUGCAUGACAUCAAGAUUUCAUACAUGGUAAAAUGAUUAAAAGUUUCCAAAUGUAUGUACUUGCUGCAUGUUAAGGUCAAAAUAUAAGUUAAGGAUUUGGUUUUUUUCUUUUUGUUUUUUUUUUGUUUUGAAUUUAUAUUAAAUGUUUUUUUUUAAAGGCUGCAACAUGAAAAAAGAAGAACACAACAUGGAUUACAUUGUGAUGACCAAGGCAGUGUUCUACAUGACAUAAAUAAAAAUGAAACAAAUGUAUACAGUAAAUAUCCCAGUGCUGAAUACAGUACUUGAAAUUUAACCCAAGCUGCAUAUGCAUAAAAUGAUCUGACUACAGGAUUAUGCAAAAUAAAUUAUUUUGGAACACCAGAAUGUCAACCAUUCUGAUUAUAAAGUGGCUUAUUCCCCUAACGAGUAUUUUGAGACAAUUUCUGUAUGACAUGAAAAGAACUGACAUAACACUU
rnacentral:lncRNA from 1 species